GCGGGACAGCGGGAUCUGCUCCGGGCGGUCCAGGGCAAGCCGGUGCCGCUCGUGUGGCCGAACGGCGGCCGUAGCGGCACGGCCGGGGAGAGUUGCGUCGACCAGGUCUUGUAAUGGUGGUCAACUGGUCUGAGCCAACCCCUCCUCCCACUUCCUCAUCCCGAGGUUCUUUGAUGUCAUUCUUCAGGGUUCACCCGCCUCCUGCGUUCAGCUCAUCGUCCAAUCUAGAGGAAUUGGCGCUAGAAAUGAACGAGUCUGAUGCAGCAGGAUGCACCUGCCAAUGCUAUUAUAUUGAUGUGAAUUCCAUGGAAAGUUUUAUCUACACCUUACGCAGAUCUUGAGCUCGAUGGCUUGCCACCAUCACACCAUGAUCGGAAUGGCUUGCUCUAAAUGGUCAUUUGAUAAUAGGAUUGCCUAUUGGAGAUGACUUGUCAAGCUUGAGUAUGGCAGAUACUAGAUCCUGAAAAAUUCAGCAAGGAUGGACACAUUGAAGAGUUUAGAUGAGGUUCUUAUUUGUCCAAUCAUGUCAUGCCUUUUUUAGUAACAUAAAUUCAAUCUUGUAAUUUGUACUGGAAACUUUUAACUUAUUCUAAUUACAGUUGAGUUUGCCCAUUAGUAUUAGGUGGAGCUAACGGAACAAAAGAGAUGUUAAACAGAAAUGGUGGACAUAUUGAAAUCUUAGCAGUUGCAUCUUGAAUAUCCUAUUGGCGUUCUCCUCUUAAUCUUACAAUGUUAUAUUGCUUGAGCCAGGCUUCUCUUGUGACUGAAACCUAAUCUUUCUUUACUUGCAAUGGAGGUUUCAAAUGUUGUUUAUGUUGUCCACUGAGUUUUUUUUUCUAUGCUCAGUCCUUCAAUUUCCUGUAUUGGAUAUUUUAUACUAGAGACAAAAGCAUAGGCACCAUUACAUCAUGCUAUUUAUCUUAUCGUGUCGUUAUCUGUAUAUACUCUGUAUGUUAUUUUGACAUUCCCAGUUUUGUUGUGGUAGUAUGUAUUUGACUCCUUUUCCCUGCCUUCUUCCUUUGAAUCACUCAAUGAAUUCACUCUUUGGCUCUGAAACUGUCCUCAUGGUCAUGUCUACUGGUAUACAGGGCAUUAAAAGCCAUAAAUAUUGCUAUCUACAGGCCGUGUAUCAUGAAUCUCUAUUUUACACAGUUUUUUCGCCUCCUCAUAUUACGUCAUAUGGUUCAAUUGAUAUUUCAGAAGACACCAAUGCAUAUAGUACAAAAUAAUACAAAGACAUGUAUCUUGUUGUCAUUGCAAAAUCAAAGAACAAUGAGUUUUCACUGGCAAGUGUGUUAUUUUGUUCCUUUUCUAUUUGUUGCAUUACUUGAUUUGAGUGCUUUGUUUCGCACGGUAAAGUGACAAAAAUAAUGAUCCAGUUCCGUAGUUUUGUUCUCUUCUCUUUUGUGUACAUAUGAAAGAAACUACUAUUGGAAUAGAUUAGUAAAUGAAUAUUCAAUUAAUUAUAGCAUUUUGUACUUUACUCGCAGGUACUGUUUGUCCAUCCCUAUACAUUAUUAUUUUGAUGUCCUUUGGCUCCUUACAUCUUACACUCUUUUUGAUAGUUGGCUCUCUAUUUCUUCCCUUAACAUUAAGUGUUUUUAUACUACUGUAUGAAUCCCUAAUCUGCUGCUUCGUUUCACUUACAGAGAAUGUACUGCUAGCAUGUUGAUGUGGUAAUUGGUUCUCUGUUUCUUCAGCUACUUAGUAAGGGUUUGCUCUAAACUUUUUCCGGUUCGUUAAUUGAUAUCUUCAUUCUCCAUUGGCAACACUUAUUGCUAUCUAAAUCGUGGUUCAUCUUUUUUUUCUUAGCUCCCACUUCAAAAGUUUUCGCUAUUUUUGUCUUGGUACACUUUUACUUCAAAAGUUUACGCAACGCAUAACAAACCUUCCGUGAUGUGUCUAACAUUUUCAGGUAGAUGAGAAUGUACCUCAUCAUUACUGUAAAUUUAAUUUAUUGGUUGGAAAAUUAUCAGGUGCAAGCAUAAUCGCCUUUGCCUGUCAUAUUUACUAGGCAUAUGUAAUCUCUGCCAUUGCUGAUAAUAUCAUGUUUGAUAUAGGCUGUUUCAGUCUAUGGCUCAUCCUAUAUUUUUACUUGGAUCCUGCAAGGUCGAGAUUUGCUCAACCUGGCUUUUACAUGGAUGAAUCUUACUUACCGUUUCCAAAAAAUUUCCUUCUCCAGAUGUGGGCAUUUGUCGUGCUGUCACUCUAGUCACCUGUCGUUCUCUGUCUCAAGAUUCGGUACAUCAGCAUGAGCAUCAUCCUCAUCACCAUCUCUAGGAUUCUGGACUAACUGAAUGUAGUGCGCUCUGUCAUUGAAAGAUUAGCUUGCUCUUGCUGCUUUACGGUCUUUGGAUUACAUUGUUAGACAACUUGCUAGAAAUUAGGGUAUGCAAUGUGCCUUCAAGUUUAAGAUGAACUUCCUCUGGUUUUGAGACAGUUUAGCCACUCCAUAUAUUUCCUCUCUCGUAACCUGCACUUAGUAUGUCAUUUUGUCUAUGAUACUGUAUAUCUUUGUUUUUCACCUGAAACUUAGCAUGAAAAUUUUGAAUUAAUUAGAGCUCAUUUUUUUUGUAUGGUUCAUUGAGCCGUACUUAAAAAUGAACUUCCAUUUGAUUCGUAAUGUGUUCCUGGAUUCUUGAUUUUAAAUUUGUUCUAUCAAGAUUAAUGAUUUGAAGGUCCUUCACCUAAUGAAUUCUAUUUUCUUGUUGACCCACUUGCAUUUGUCAAUUUGAGGUCUUGACACUCCUCUCUUGACGGAAUAACUGUGCAUCAAAGUAUAUGCAAUCAUCACCUUCAUGAUUUGAAGGUCCUUCACCUAAUGAAUUUUAUUUUCUUGCUGACCGACUUGGAUUUGUCAAUUUGAGGUCUUGACACAUAGAACAUACACUUUUAUUUAUGGUGUUUGUUAUCAUAAGAUAGGUUCAGAACCAAGAUCUGGGCCAACGCGCCUCGUUCUCGCAUGUGUCUUCCACCCCCUGCUGUCUAUGCUGGCCAUGGGGAGAAAGAUGACAGCGCUUCAGAUGCCAAUAAGGAAGGACGAGAGCAGGAUUGACCAGCAGCUCGAGUAGGAGGAGGCCAGCGGUGCCUGGACCAUACUUUCUCUGCUUCUUCUUUCCACUUCAGUACAUGCCUUCCACUCCCAGCUCGACCUCUCCUUUUCCCGGCUUCUCUGCUUGGCAGUAAGAGGUGACACAUCAGAUCAGGAAACUGUGCAACAUAUAUGGAAGGUUUGGUAUUAAGAUGAGGACAUAUGCAGACAACAAGCCAACGACAUCAGGUUGUCGACAGCAGCGGCAUCAAUGGAUGGAGAUACACCUGCUGCAAUGGACUUCGUUGUCUCAUCGGUAUGGUCGCCUGUGACAGUACAAGGGAGCUUUCAUUUUUUGUUGAAAUCUCUGAAGAAUUUUAUGGAAGCGGGGACUCCUCUGGAGCUUGUGGCGGCGUUCAUGGCGGGAUUCCUCGUAUUGUACCUCAACUACCUGUACAAGCGAUGGGGCGGGCAGGACGAUGCGCACUGGACGGGAUCCAGCACGGUGGCCGGACCGACGAGGAAGAGGACCAACAGAGGGGGACUUGGCAAGGCUGCAUGCUGGCAGCCAUGCCGAUGUUCAAAUCUAAGGCGUGUGUGCGUGCCGGCUGCAGCAAGAUCAGGGAGGAGUGCACGGUGUUCCUUGGCGCCAUGCAUGAUGGAUCUGGCACGGCGGUCGGGCCGACGAGGACCAGCGGAUGGGUUCGAUGAAAAGUGGCAUGGUGCAAAGGUUGGUAGCUGGUGCAUAGGUGUUGCUUCAUCAUCUUGCCUUCUUUGAAGCGUGGGCUGAUUGAUGGUUAGCCAUCAUGUACGUAAUUUUUUGUGUAAACUUACUUCAAUUGGAACCGAUAAUUUUCUGCCAUGAUUUGAA